AGUGAACGCUGGCGGUAGGCCUAACACAUGCAAGUCGAACGGCAGCACAGUAAGAGCUUGCUCUUACGGGUGGCGAGUGGCGGACGGGUGAGGAAUACAUCGGAAUCUACUUUUUCGUGGGGGAUAACGUAGGGAAACUUACGCUAAUACCGCAUACGACCUACGGGUGAAAGCAGGGGAUCUUCGGACCUUGCGCGAUUGAAUGAGCCGCUGUCGGAUUAGCUAGUUGGCGGGGUAAAGGCCCACCAAGGCGACGAUCCGUAGCUGGUCUGAGAGGAUGAUCAGCCACACUGGAACUGAGACACGGUCCAGACUCCUACGGGAGGCAGCAGUGGGGAAUAUGGGACAAUGGUCGCAAGCCUGAUCCAGCCAUACCGCGUGGGUGAAGAAGGCCUUCGGGUUGUAAAGCCCUUUUGUUGGGAAAGAAAAGCAGCAGGUUAAUACCCCGCUGUUCUGACGGUACCCAAAGAAUAAGCACCGGCUAACUUCGUG
rnacentral:rRNA from 1 species